rnacentral:misc_RNA from 1 species
UUGCAAGAUCAUCGAUUGGUCGAUUUUGGGUAGCCCUGCAACCAAUGACACUUCGGUGCUAAUAGAACACUAGCGACGCUAGUGGUACAAAAAAAAAACAUAAUGUACACGAUUCUGCGACAAGUUUAGUCAAUUCACCCAUUAAGUUCGUGCUCCUUGUUUGCUCCUUAUACAGUCUUCAUGAAAUUAUCAGUGGAAAUUGUAUGGUCAGUUAUGGUUGGCUAUGGCACUGCUGUAAGUUCGUGCAUGGAUUUGUGUAACAUUUUGUAUUUUUCAUUACUGUCAUCUGCUGAGUGGAAAUGAAUCUAUCCGAGGAAAUAAAACACUGGUAAACGGCUGCAAAGAUGUUUUCACUAACGGAAUCGAUUAAACAUAUCCAAAUAACAUUCCGUGUCAAUGCAUAAUGGAAGACUCCAAGCUACCUUGAGGUUGGAUUAGACGCUGAAGGAAAUCAGAGAAACAAUUGCUGCAAUUAGCACGACUCUUAAACACUUCUUCCCGAAAUAAUCUAACUUGGCUUUUUGGGGAUCACCACAUUUGGCUGCACGCAGUGUACUCUUUACUUUAUAAUUACCACCAUUAUUCUGCAUUCAUGCAUGUGCAUUUUACACAUUAGUAUUAAUUUAGUGCCAAACACCGUACUAUUUCUUAAUUAAAUUUACAUUGAAACUUCUUAAAAAUUUAUUGAUAGUUCAUACGACUUUAUUCGCGAAAAGAUCGAUUUAAAAUUGGAUAAUUAUUGUUUCAAUACCCAAUACCGUACCUAGAACAUUCGGAAAAUGUAAAAUUACAUUACACAAUACAUAAGAGAAGGAUUAAAUUGUAUAGAAAAUAGUUACAUAGAGUUGUUACUUGAUUCUAUACCCAUAUCAAUAAACGCUAGACAAGUUUUCAUAACAAUACUACAGAACACUACAUGUUAUUUUUCACUUUUAAACAAAUAAACUGAUAUAUGCAAUAGACCACUACUUCUCGUUUCUCUUUUAUACCUUAAAUUCCCUAGCUUACUUUAUGCAUUUACUUAGGCA